CCUACGGGUGGCAGCAGUGAGGAAUAUUGGUCAAUGGGCGGAAGCCUGAACCAGCCAAGUCGCGUGAGGGAUUAAGGCCCUGCGGGUCGUAAACCUCUUUUGCCGGGGAGCAGAGGUCCGGACGUGUCCGGGCCGGGAGGGUACCCGGAGAAAAAGCAUCGGCUAACUCCGUGCCAGCGGCCGCGGUAAUACGGAGGAUGCGAGCGUUUUCCGGAUUUAGUGGGUUUAAAGGGUGGGUAGGCGGGCAUUUAAGCCGGCGGUCAAAUGUCGGGGCUCAACCCCGGCCUGCCGUCGGAACUGGGUGCCUUGAGUGGGCGAGAAGUAUGCGGAAGGCGUGGUGUAGCGGUGAAAUGCAUAGAUAUCACGCAGAACCCCGAUUGCGAAGGCAGCAUACCGGCGCCCUACUGACGCUGAGGCACGAAAGUGCGGGUAUCGAACAGGAUUAGAUACCCCUGUAGUC
rnacentral:rRNA from 1 species